rnacentral:rRNA from 1 species
UACGUAGGGGCUAGCGUUGUCCGGAAUCAUUGGGCGUAAAGAGCGCGUAGGCGGCCAGAUAAGUCCGGUGUGAAAGUCACAGGCUCAACCUGUGAAUGCCGCUGGAAACUGUCUGGCUUGAGUCCGGGAGGGCGAGUGGAAUUCCUGGUGUAGCGGUGAAAUGCGCAGAUAUCAGAGGAACACCAAUGCGAAGGCAGCUCGCUGGAACGUACUGACGCUGAGGGCGACGAAAAGCGUGGGGGGGAGCAAAACAGGGAAUAGAAACCCCCGCUACGUAGUCCGAAGACCAAUCGUCCAUCUCGUCUCCCU